UACGAAGGGGGCUAGCGUUGCUCGGAAUCACUGGGCGUAAAGCGCACGUAGGCGGCUUACUAAGUCAGGGGUGAAAUCCUGGAGCUCAACUCCAGAACUGCCUUUGAUACUGAAGAUCUUGAGUUCGGGAGAGGUGAGUGGAACUGCGAGUGUAGAGGUGAAAUUCGUAGAUAUUCGCAAGAACACCAGUGGCGAAGGCGGCUCACUGGCCCGAUACUGACGCUGAGGCACGAAAGCGUGGAGGAGCAAACAG
rnacentral:rRNA from 1 species